GAUGAAGAACGUAGCGAAAUGCGAUAAGUAGUGUGAAUUGCAGAAUUCAGUGAAUCAUCGAAUCUUUGAACGCACAUUGCGCCCCUUGGUAUUCCAUGGGGCAUGCCUGUUCGAGCGUCAUUUGUACCUUCAAGCUUUGCUUGGUGUUGGGUGUUUGUCUCGCCUUUGCGUGUAGACUCGCCUUAAAAUAAUUGGCAGCCGGCGUAUUGAUUUCGGAGCGCAGUACAUCUCGCGCUUUGCACUCAUAACGACAGCGUCCAAAAGUACAUUUUACGCUCUUGACCUCGGAUCAGGUAGGGAUACCCGCUGAACUUAAGCAUAUCAAUAAGCGGAGGA
rnacentral:misc_RNA from 1 species